GAACGUGAAGGAUAACGUUGCGUCAGCAACGGCCCGUAGGGCGAGGCGAAGCCGAGUCAUCCUGCACGACCCACCA
rnacentral:sRNA from 1 species